rnacentral:rRNA from 1 species
AUUGAACGCUGGCGGCAGGCCUAACACAUGCAAGUCGAGCGGAUGAAGGGAGCUUGCUCCUGGAUUCAGCGGCGGACGGGUGAGUAAUGCCUAGGAAUUUGCCUGGUAGUGGGGGAUAACGUCCGGAAACGGGCGCUAAUACCGCAUACGUCCUGAGGGAGAAAGUGGGGGAUCUUCGGACCUCACGCUAUCAGAUGAGCCUAGGUCGGAUUAGCUAGUUGGUGGGGUAAAGGCCUACCAAGGCGACGAUCCGUAACUGGUCUGAGAGGAUGAUCAGUCACACUGGAACUGAGACACGGUCCAGACUCCUACGGGAGGCAGCAGUGGGGAAUAUUGGACAAUGGGCGAAAGCCUGAUCCAGCCAUGCCGCGUGUGUGAAGAAGGUCUUCGGAUUGUAAAGCACUUUAAGUUGGGAGGAAGGGCAGUAAAUUAAUACCUUGCUGUUUUGACGUUACCAACAGAAUAAGCACCGGCUAACUUCGUG